AUGGCUGUGAUUGCCCACCAUAGCAAGCGCAGGCUGUCUGAGCAGGCCAUCCUUGGAUGCCCAAAUGGCUCGGCAUCAGGACUCAGCCCACCCUUGGGUGAAGGGCACCCGUCUCCCUUUGCCGAUCACUGUCCCCAUGAAGAAGAGCUGGGUCUCUUUCCUGGGUGCUGGCUGAGAGAGGUGGGUCCCAGUGCCCGGCUGUGCCGCCUGCGCACUGCUCCGGCACCAGGCGCCCCUCCUCAGCGGCUGUGCCAGGGUCGCCAUGGCAACGGCAUAAUGGAUUUGCCCUUAUUCAGUCCCAGAGGCCGCAUCGAAGCGCGACGCAAAAUUUGCCGGAGCCUGAAUUCCUUUCAAGUCAUGGCUCGCGUGUCAGGAAGCAAGUUGAUGCGCAGGCAGCGGAUGCAGGAGAGAGGAAGACAAGAUGAAGCCAACAGAGGAUGGUCAGACUCCCCUGGAAACCAGCAUUUGACUGAUGGUGUUACAAGAGGAACCACCAUGGCCCCAGGCAGUGGCAGGCUGUGAUCGAGUCAGCACAGACAUGAAGGGAUCCACUCCUUCUCCCACGGGGUUAACAUCCGAGCACCCAUGCUUACUACCGCAGAGCCUGAUGGACUUUUUUAAAAAAUCAUUGGUUGGAAUUGGACCAUUUUUUCUUCAUCCAUUUUCUUUUUUUCUGUAAGUAGCAAAAUGUGGAAAAAAUAAAAAUAAAGAGCAGUGUGGAAGGAAGAGAGAU
rnacentral:lncRNA from 1 species